UAUUAGACUAUGAGGUUGUGGUCUGGUAAGUCACUCAGCUGGCUCUGUUCAAAUGCAUUGAGAGACAUGACCUCAGAAUACCUAGUGUGAACAUUCUAAGUUGUACUGUUCUUAACAGACAUGAAAGAUCUCAGGUAAAUAAAAAAAAUUUUAAAUAUAGAUCACAAAAUUAAAAAGUAUGUGAAGAAAUAUGAUGGUGUAGAAAUGUCCUGGGUUUAAGAAGUGAUUUCUCAAAAGUAAAGAUACUAUCCCAGAGGGUCGUGGGCAGAAAUGAAGGGAUUUCAUUUGAACUUAGAGCAUGAUGAAUUUGAGUGGGUGCACAGGAAGCAGCUAGCGGAUAGGAAGGCACUCUGCUCUGUGAUGGCAAGUGAAGACUUGAGAACUUAGGGUGAUGACCACCGAACAGCACAGCUAGUGCCUACUGAGUUCAGAGAGUGCAAGGGGACGAAGGUGGGGAUCCUGAAAUGUUCUUCAACUGGGGAAGACAGAGCUCACCUUCAGGCAGGAGCAGGGGCCUCAGCAUUCUGCAGUGAGUGUAGAGUGAAAGUCCUCCAUGUAGUAUUUUCCUGCCCCAGACCAGUCUUAUAGUAAAUAAGCAGAGUUCUGUGUCAGCUCAUGGCUGAUCUCUCCUCAAAGAGGUGAGUAGAAAAGAGAUUCUUGUUUAAAAGAGUCUAGCAAGAAGCAGUAGCUUGUCUGCUAAGAGUACAAAAAUUAUAUGACAAAUUUAUUAUGCUACAAAUUUAACAUGGAAUUCCUUCAUUUUCUAUAAAAAUGUCAAAAAAAAGCAAUGCUACCUCCAGCCUUAGGUCUUUUGAACUGCCCACUGUUGAGAUGAGUUUUUCUUUUGCCAUACAAAGUUAUUAUCAUAUGAUUCUAUUUGGCUUCCUUCAAACUAUUGUUUGUAUACUAUAUUUGCUUGGCAAGGGGAGGUAGCUUUCUGUAUAAGACUCUGAUUCUAAAGAGAUGAAGACUUGUGUGAAUGUACAAAGGUUUGCAUUGUAGCUGUUAGAACAGCACAGCAGGGAGUACACGAACUGAUAGAGACCUGUGCUCAGCAGCCAGGUUCUUCAGGUGCUUCUUAAUCAGCCCCUCUGCUCCAGAUGGACCUUUCCCUCCAUGUAGCUUUUCCUCAGAGUCGAUGAGAAGUGAAUGUUGUCUUUGGUCACAAUGCCUUUAAGUGUAGUUGUAGCUCAGAACUUUUUUUUUAGUAUUCAUAUCUAUUUACAUCUGUGUUUCCCAACAGAAGACAACUUCAGUAUUUUUAAGAGGAUAUCCUGAAAACCAACACGAAAGCUAAUCAUGACAAGGAAGUAAAACAUAGGAUCUGAGAGGAGAGGGUCCUUGCUCCAUGCAUGAGGACAUCCAUCCCACCCACUGCCUCUGAAGAGCUGUAGAGCAACCUGCUUUUGGCAUGGGUGGAUGGAUUUUUAAGUUGGUUUCCCAGUCAAGUUAUAUUUAAUUAAGGGACUAGUUGAGAUAGUUCAUGCAAAAGCACCAGAAAACUUAAAACAGGGUUCUCUGGGGCUGGAAGCCAGAUUAGGGACAGGGCCUUUUCAUUAAUGAGAGAACAUGUCACAAGGAAAGCAAGAGAUAAAAACCAACAAAACCUAACCUGGUGACCACAUGUCUGUGACUCCAUGUACUCAUCCCAAGGUUGUAUCUGGAGCCUGUGGGCUGGCUAGAUGAUAUAGGUGACUGGCACCUAUUAAGAGUAUAUAACAUAAAUACCAUAAAAAGGAGGAAAUAAAGAUAAGUAAACAUCUCAUUUCUC
rnacentral:lncRNA from 1 species